AUUCAGAUAAACUCCGAAUGCCAUGUACUUAUACUCGGGAGUCAGACUGCGAGUGAUAAGAUCCGUAGUCGAAAGGGAAACAGCCCAGACCACCAGUUAAGGUCCCCAAAUAUAUGUUAAGUGGAAAAGGAUGUGGGGUUGCUUAGACAACCAGGAUGUUGGCUUAGAAGCAGCCACCAUUGAAAGAGUGCGUAAUAGCUCACUGGUCGAGUGACCCCGCGCCGAAAAUGUACCGGGGCUAAACAUAUUACCGAAACUGUGGAUGAACCUCUUUAGAGGUUCGUGGUAGGAGAGCGUUCUAAGGGCGGUGAAGUCAGACCGGAAGGACUGGUGGAGCGCUUAGAAGUGAGAAUGCCGGUAUGAGUAGCGAAAGAAGGGUGAGAAUCCCUUCCACCGAAUAUCUAAGGUUUCCUGAGGAAGGCUCGUCCGCUC
rnacentral:rRNA from 1 species